UCACCAUGACAUUGUCCGGCGAAAUCAUCCCCCACAAAAGUAUCCAAAUCAGUAUACUUAUUUUUGAGGGGAUGGCUACAGAUGUGUUCUGCUCUACCUGCCUAUUUCUAUUUCUCCUGACAGUCACCCAGCUACUCGCCUCCUGGAACUUCGGGAUUUGCUCCCAGAAUCAUUCUUUUGAGCCUUCUUCUGAACUCUUAUAUAGAACAUCAGGACAGGCCCUUCAACCCUUGAUGCUGUGCCAACGUAGUAACCAACUCCAAGAUCAAUCAAAAGCUUAGAAUUUUCACUGAGCUGUUACUGUUCCUCCUCUCUCCUAUCUAUUGUGCAGUGGAUAUUCAACAGGUUGCUGCUUGGACUUGUUUAACCUAUCCUCAUAUUGUCUUCUGAGGAUAAGAUGAGUGAACUGAGGUUUUUCUCUUUAGGAUGAAGAAGCAUGAGAGGUAACUUGAUAGAGGUUUACAAGAUCAUAACUGGCAUUGAUUGAGUGGAUACCCAGAGGCUCUUUCCCAGGGCAGAAAGAGGUAAGAAAGGUUUUUUUACAGAGCCUGUUAGGUAUGCUGAACCACCUCAGGGAUAGAGGUAGAGAUAGAUGAAUUUGGUACUUUCAAGAAACUCUCAAAGCAUAUGAGUGAUAGAAAAAUUGAGUGUUACUGUAGGAGGGAAGGCUUAGAUUAAUCCGAGAACAGCUUAAGUGGUUUGCUCGAUAUUGUGGUCUGAAAGGCCCAUACUGUGCUGUGUUGUUCAGUCUCAUUCAUUGCAAUUUCUUGACCUUCCCAUACAUUAACAAAUUUCCUCUUCUCUCCAUUGCUCACUCCUGCCUUCCUAAUUCCCAACUCCUUAAGCCUAUCUCUCCAGUUUCUCAGUCCCGAUUUGCCUGCCCCAUCUGAACCCCCACUGGUCUUCCUCUUCACUACCCUGCAUCCCACUUUCCCUUCUGCGACAACAUCUCUUUGACUGACACUUCCUCUCUGUUCUCCUCAUCAGGAAUGAAGAUAUUAAGCUAUGCUGAGGGGUAACCAUAUGCAGAAUAUCAAAUCUGGCUCAUGGAUGAAGUCCAGCAUUUACGAACACCAGAUGACUGUCGGACUGUGUGGUACAAUUCCGAGAAGAUCCUUAUGUUGGCUAGGAACCUAUCUGAGUUGAGGCCCAGUCACCAGUCGGAGGGCAUACAGCAGAAUGCCAUGGAAAUGCCCACAGACCGCUGCUUCACAAUCAGCUUUAAAAGCAGCAAGGAACCUGGACCUGGUGGCCACCAACACCAAGGAGGCCUGGCACUGGAACUAUCACUUCACCAAACUCAAGAAACGAGACUCCAGCAUGAACAAGAGGGAGCAACUUGAUGAAGGUAUGAAAGUCUUGCUCAGGGCAUACAGAAGAUCAAAUCUGGCUCAUGGACGAAGUUCCGCUUUUACAAACACCAGGAUGACUGUCAGACAGUGUGGUACAAUUCCGAAAAGAUCUUGAUGUUGCCCAGGAAUCAUUCUGUCUGUGAACCGAAAUUGCAUAGCAGUUUGCAGUGAUCUCAAAUGAUCAAGAUACAAUCAGAUCAUCAUCUUGCAAUUCUAUGCUGAGUGGCCAGUGAAGGAAAUUGCAUGAACUCAAUGUCCAAUAUUGCUGCUGAAAAAUGUAAAAUAUGUCAGACUUGGCGGCAACAAUUUGUUCUCCGAGAUGCUUAUCACUUAGAAAUGCUACAAUACUUCGUUUAACAAUGCAGCGAAGAGAAUUACCUUUUCAUAGCCAUCGGACCUCUGUAUGCAUUGGAAGCCAUUCAUAAUCUUCUUCAUUUCCCUCACAAAGUUGUCGAGAAAGACAAUCUUGAAAUGCAAUUGAUUUGAAGCGAGUUUUACAGAAACAAGGAGGUCAUGCAAAUAUUCUCCCAAUAUUGUAAACAUUGAGUGUGGGUCUUCAGUCUCAUGGACCUCCUUUUUGAUGGUAGCAAGAGAAGAGGCAUAUUCAAAGUGAUGGGAGUGCCUCCUUUUAGUGUCGCCUUUUGAUGAAGUCCUUGAUGCCAAGGAAGCUAGUGGCAAUUAUGAAGUUCUGUCGCUUUUCCCGAUCCUGUGCAAUUGCACCUCCAUAUAUGAAGUUUAUGCAACCAGUCAAAAUGCAUGGUAUAUGGCACAUUGAUUGUAGUCACAUGUAAGAUCGUAAUGAAAUGGAUUGUGAAGACAUGAAUCCAUUUUAUUGUACUGGGGGAAGCUGGUUACCAUGAUGUGCUGAGCUGUUUCCACGACACUUCAUUUUCUUGUAGUCACAUGCUGGAUUGCAGUGAGGUAGAUUGUGAAGUCAUGAGUCAAUCUGACUGUACUACAGAACUAUUCAAAGGUCUGAUAACUGCAAGGUAGAAGCUGUACCUGACAAGUCCAUCCCCCGCUCAGCUGAAGAUGGCUGUGUCUUCCCACCUUUUCUCUGAAUUAUCGUUCGCAGCUGUGAUCAUAUUCCCUUGGGACAGGCAGGCAGUCCUGAAUCUGACCAACGGAAGUCAUCUUACCUACUGUGGUGAUGGUCCUUGGAUUAUCGCCGGGUGUGUCUACCAUUGUUUUUGGCUGGUUGGCUCGCCGGAGGUUCAGUGGGACGGGCCAGCAAGCUGGACCAGAAAUUGAGUGGCUGAGUGGGAGAAUAGAAUCUGUAGCCAAGAGGCCAAGAAGUGAGCGAAGGAUCUCCGUGGGGGCAGAGGUCAGCUGAGGAGUGGAACUGACGGAGGAGGGGAAGGUCAAGGUGCAAAAGGCGACAGCCAAGAUGAUUCCGAACAGCAAGAGGAUUCAGGCAGGCAGAGAAGUGGACUGGGGUGACACAAAGUCAACAGAGGGGCUUCUGGAGUUAGAACACCGUUGUCUGAAGAUAGGACAGUCAAUCAAGAAAUUGAAAAGAUGAGUCCUUAUAUUUCAUCAAAAACAGAUGUCUGGAAUCCCAAUUCUUAUGGAGUAGAUGAAGUACUGAUUGACAACAUCCAGGAGUUGAAGCCAGGUCAUCAGUCAGAGGUCAAGCAGUGGUACACCAAGGAGAUGCCCACCAGCAUCUCCUUCACCAUUGUCUUCAAGGGCAGGAAGAAAAACGUGGACCUGGUGGCCGUCAAUGCUACAGAGGCCUGCCUCUGGAUCUGUGUCUUCACCAAAUUCAAGAAGAGAGACUGCAGCAUCAACAAGAGAGUGCGACGAGACCAAUAUCGAUUGCGAUGUGUGUCAGGGGUUACACCACGGAGGGAGAGUGCCACUUUGCCAAUUGUCUUCUCUAACAGUGGCUCUCGAGUCUGCUCCCACCCCGUGUAGAAGGUCAAAGCAGAAGGCACAUGGGAAUAAACUCCCAUCCAAGUCAUGAUUCCUUACAUAAGACAAUAAUGCAGUGGUUGUCAAUAUUUUUGAUACAAUCUGGAUGUUUUAAUAGUUUAAGCUCACUAGUAUGUGUUGUGAGAUUUGUUAACUUGGUGGCAGCAAUACAAUGCAUAACACGAUAAAAACUAGAAAAAUAAAUGAAUUACAGUAAAUAUAUAUGUAUAUUCAGUAGUUAAA